CUACCGCAUAUGGUCUUCGGAUUAAAGCCUUCGGCGGUUUUGGGAAGAGCCCGCGUAAGAUUAGCUAGUUGGUGAGGUAAUGGCUCACCAAGGCGACGAUCUUUAACUGGUUUGAGAGGAUGAUCAGUCACACUGGAACUGAGACACGGUCCAGACUCCUACGGGAGGCAGCAGUGAGGUAAUUUCCACAAUGGGCGAAGGCCUGAUGGAGCAACGCCGCGUGCAGGAUGAAGGCUUUAGGGUUGUAAACUGCUUUUAUAUGUGACGAAUAUGACGGUAGCAUAUGAAUAAGGAUCGGCUAACUCCGUG
rnacentral:rRNA from 1 species